AAGUGAGUGUGAUGAACAAAACGAAACAGGCGGUACAGUUAUGAAUAAACUAUUGGCACGCACUUUGCGCCCAGGACCUUCACACCAACACCAUCACAAUGAAGGCAGCGAAGCCUGCAAGCACUUUUUGUUUCUAUUUUUCA
ensembl:ncRNA R04F11.9 ncRNA